GAUGAACGCUGGCGGCGUGCCUAAUACAUGCAAGUCGAGCGAACAGACGAGGAGCUUGCUCCUCUGACGUUAGCGGCGGACGGGUGAGUCACACGUGGAUAACCUACCUAUCAGACUGGGAUCACUUCGGGAAACCGGCGCUAAUCCCGGAUAAUCUAUUGCACCGCAUGGUUCAAUAGUGAAAGUCGGUUUUGCUGUCACUUCUCGCUGGAUCCGCGCCGCAUUAGCUAGUUGUUAAGGUAACGGCUUACCAAGGCAACGAUGCGUAGCCGACGUGAGAGAGGGAUCGGCCACACGGGAGCUGAAACGCGGUCCAGACUCCUGCGAGAGGCAGCAGUAGGGAAUCUGCCGCAAUAGGCGAAAGCCUGACGGAGCGACGCCACGUGAGUGAUGAAGGUCUUCGGAGCGUAAAACUCUGUUAUGAGGGAAAAACAAAUGUGUAAGUAGCUAUGCACGUCUUGACGGUACCUAAUCAGAAAGCCACGGCUAACUACGUG
rnacentral:rRNA from 1 species